rnacentral:lncRNA from 1 species
AACAAAGAGAAGAAAACAUAAGAGAUCAAACAUGCACACGAGGCGUCCAACUCCAGAAUUUUGGCACUCAACACAGAACUGCUUGUCUAGCAAUCUAACCCUUAGCGUCCAACGAUAGCACAAACAGAGAGCUUUCCCAACCCAACGAGAAAUCUCGCCCAACCUUUGAAACUGACUACCAAACAUCAAUAUUUACUCGUCCAACAACCCUCAAACCUGCCUAACUAGUCUGCAAAAUUAUGCAAAACAUCAAUUAUGUAGAAUUUACACCCCUCAACCUUAAAUGUUCUAACUCUCACACCUCCCUAUGCAUCUACA